AGCCACAGCCAUAUCACCCUGCAAGCCAAGACUGGUUACUUACUGAAUCUAAGCAGGGCUGAGCCUGGUCAGUACGUGGAUCGAAGACCACAUGGGAAAAGUAGGUUGCUGUUGGAA
ensembl:rRNA 5S_rRNA 5S ribosomal RNA